CUCCCGAGGUGCUGAAGGACCCUGUGCUGCUUGUGACCUCAUUAGUUCUCCAACAUCCUUUGCAGUUCUGAGCUUCUAUGUCCUCACAACAAGCUCCUGAACACCCACACCAAGAUGUCCUGCCAGCAGAACCAGCAGCAGUGCCAGCCCCCUCCCAAGUGCAUCCCCAAGUGCCUUCCCAAGUGCCCCACCCCUAAAUGCCCCCCAAAGUGUCCCCCAAAGUGUCCUCCAGUCUCUUCCUGCUGCAGUGUCAGCUCCGGAGGCUGCUGUGGCUCCAGCUCUGGGGGCUGCUGUGGCUCCAGCUCUGGGGGAGAUGGCUGCUGCCUGAGCCACCACAGGCGCCGUAGGUCCCACUGCCACAGAUCCCAGAGCUCUGGCUGCUGCAGCCAGCCCUCGGGGGGCUCCAGCUGCUGUGGAGGGGGGAGUGGCCAGCACUCUGGAGGCUGCUGCUGAAGUGGAUCCUGAGCCUAGAAGAACACAAAUGGCCAAAUAUUUCCCUCCCGUCUUCCUUUUCCUUCUGGGCCUGCCCAUGUUGUUGAGAGGUUUUGGUGAGGGCUCAACUCAAGCAUAGAGGAUUCUUCUGUCUUGGAGUUCAGAGGCCCAAAACUUCUCCCCCGAAGCCAAGCCACUUAAUGACCUCAGUUUGCAUAUGUGUGGUUGCUCUGGGAAGCCCAAAGCACAGACCUAUAUCCCUUUGCAGCUUGUCUUUUUGCAUAGCUCAGCCUGAUGUGAAACAAUAAAACCAGAAAUAUGCAUUC